GCUCUGCCGUCGAGGCCCCCGGGUUUCACUUCGAGCCAUGGUGUUGGGGGUUCCCUGAACUUCAAGCAGUGGAUCUGGCCCAGGGGCCUGUCAGGGGCGUGGUGCGGAAGGCUGUGUCCCUCACCCCGCCGUGACCCUCACCCCGCCACGACCCUCACCUCGCCAUGACCCUCAUCAGGCUCUCAGGCGUGGCGUGGCGGACUCCCUGACUGCCCAGCACACGGCUCCUAGCAGCAGGACGCUGGGAGCAGGGUCCGGGGGUGCAGCCAGCGGGGCCCCGGUAAAGCCCUGAGACGCUGGCUGGGGCUGGAGGCCGCUGACCCUGCGCGCUGACCCACCAAGCUGGAGCCUGGUUGCGGACAUCAGGCCUCCUGGAGGAGCUGCGGAGCUGCCCUGAGGGGCGGCUCAGGCUGACACCGGGGCAGACCAGCCUGCCGGGCGCUGCAGGGCCCUCGCCGGCCCUCAGUUUCCUCCUGUGGACGCACCCUGCCCCACAGUGCUCGCUGUCCAUGCACCAAGUGGGGAGCUGGAGGGCGGCUGGUCCCCGGGGUCUCGGGUCUCUCAGAGCCUUGGUCCUCAGAUGUGAAGUGACCACACCGACCCCUGGCCGUGCUGAGGGCGGGGCAAGACCCCAUGUGUGAGGAGUGGUCACGAUGAGUGUUAAUCAGGAGGCAGAGGACACAGGAGCCAGCCAAACACCCUGGGUUUGAGUCAGUGCGGCCCCACAGAAUGGGGCUGACCCUGACCUGACCCUGACCUGACCCUGAGCCUCAGUUUCCCCGUCUGUAAAAGGGGCACCAGCACCCAGCCCCCGGGCUGGCAUGGGAUCCAGACUCAGUGGAGACUGGAGUGCUGGGAUGGUGGGGGGCUGAGGGCAAAAGGGUCUGUGUGCCUACCCCCAGGUCACAGCCAGAUGUGGACACUCUAGUGGCCUUGCCUGCAGGCAGGGAGUGGGUGGACAUGACCCCGUGGGCCAGGGCUCGACCAGGACGCCGGGCACCUCUGAGAAGCCACCGUCCCUGGGGCAUUGAGGCUGAUGUCCCUGUGGACACAGCUGAGACCCAGGGGGCACCCUCGGAGGAGAGCUAUAGGCAGUGUCCUCAUCUCUUGGGAGCGAGGCCGUGGCUUCUGGUCCAGGCACAUUGUCCCCGUGCCCCAGCCCCUCUCAAGCAGCGUGACGGUGUGGUCAGGACCCCUCACCUGAAAGGACGUGACAGGCCUCCCACCCACCUGCCCCGAGAUGCAAGCUGUUGUGUUAGAAAACCAAAGGCAAGGAGCCAGUCGGAAAACAUCUUUGAGGACGGUCUCCUUUCUGAAACAUCAGAGCUGUUGACUUCACCCUGUCUUGGUGCAGUCUCAGGCACAGCAUGGUCAGCUGUUGGACAGUCAGGGCUUGAAGGGGCCACCCAGGGCUGCAGCCCCGCAAUGGGUCCUGUCCACGUUGAGACGGGCCCUCCGUGUGACAUGCUCGCCAGGUUCGCGAGACCGAGAGCAAGAACGUAACGUGGCAGCCCGCGUGAUGGGACAUUACGCAGGCGAAAGAGGGGAUGAAGCGCUAACACAGGCUACCCCAAUAUGAACCUCAAAGAUGUGAUGCUCAGUGAGAGAAGCCGGACGCGGAAGACUGUGCAGGGUGCGGUUCACAUUGAGAAGCAUCAACAACGGGCAUGUCCACGGAGGGAGAGCGGGGCUCAGUGGUGCCGGCGCUGGGAGGGGUAGGGGCUCUGGGGAAGGCUGCUCUUUGUGGGGAUGAAAAUUUUCUCAAACUGACUGUGGAGGAACUUCCCUGGUGGUCCAGUGGCUGAGACUCUGCGCUCCAGUGCAGGGCAGCUGGGUACGAUCCCUGGUAACUAAGGUCCUGUGGGUCGCAACUAAGAUCUAGCACAGCCAAACAAAGUAUUUAAAAAAUAAAAAAUAAGUAAAAUAAAAUUG